GACGAACGCUGGCGGCGUGCUUAACACAUGCAAGUCGAACGGAAAGGCCCUGCUUUUGUGGGGUGCUCGAGUGGCGAACGGGUGAGUAACACGUGAGUAACCUGCCCUUGACUUUGGGAUAACUUCAGGAAACUGGGGCUAAUACCCGAUAGGAGCUCCUGCUGCAUGGUGGGGGAUGGAAAGUUUCGGCGGUUGGGGAUGGACUCGCGGCUUAUCAGCUUGUUGGUGGGGUAGUGGCUUACCAAGGCUUUGACGGGUAGCCGGCCUGAGAGGGUGGGCGGCCACAUUGGGUCGGAGAUACGGCACAGACUCAUACGGGAGGCAGCGGUGGGGAAUAUUGCACAAUGGGAGGAAGCCUGAUGCAGCAACGCCGCGUGCGGGAUGACGGCCUUCGGGUUGUAAACCGCUUUCGCCUGUGACGAAGCGUGAGUGACGGUAAUGGGUAAAGAAGCACCGGCUAACUACGUG
rnacentral:rRNA from 1 species